rnacentral:rRNA from 1 species
UACGAAGGGGGCUAGCGUUGCUCGGAAUUACUGGGCGUAAAGGGCGCGUAGGCGGACAGUUUAGUCAGAGGUGAAAGCCCAGGGCUCAACCUUGGAAUUGCCUUUGAUACUGGCUGUCUUGAGUACGGGAGAGGUGAGUGGAACUCCGAGUGUAGAGGUGAAAUUCGUAGAUAUUCGGAAGAACACCAGUGGCGAAGGCGGCUCACUGGUCCGGUACUGACGCUGAGGUGCGAAAGCGUGGGGAGCAAACAGG